UAUAUAUAUAUAUAUUGUCAUCUCCAGGAACGUCGAGAAGGGGGACAAACAGCUUUGAUUGGAUCCGAUCUGGUAGACAGAGACGAAGACAAAGAUGAAUAAUUUGAAGAAG
rnacentral:sRNA from 1 species